GGCGGCCUUUUAGCCUUUGCCCUGUCGAUUUGAUUUCAGGUUUUCUCAUGUGUUAAUUGAAGGUCAGAUCGAAGGCGCUUUGGUUAGAUCGACGCGUUGGCGUGUGAGUGGCCAGUUUAAUGUUUGUGUCGGCUGGCUCCCUGCUUGCGCAGCGAACUGUCGGCGCAUUCAUAUUUCAGUCGAGACGGAGUUGUGAUUGUUGGAUUUUUGUGUUGGCAACCCCAUUGGAGGAAUUCUUGUGGCCUUGAAAUGUGGCUUCGUUGAACACCCCUUGAGGUGCUAGGCGGACGUUGAAGUUGUCCCUUUUUAUGCCAUGAUCUCCCUUUUUUGGGAACCAUGGAAAAUUGGCGGUGUUGCUUGUUGCCACGGAUGCAAAGCAUGCAGCGAGCAUGUUGCAUGUCCUCAUUGCUCAUCAGAGCUCUCGAUUGCUUGGAAAGAGAGACUGUCGUGCUUGGUUUUGGCUGUUCGCUUGUGGACCAGCUCUUAACUUUGCCGGCAUCUUCAAUGAUUGCUACCUGGUUGAUCCUGCCAGUAGUCAUAUGCUUGUCUCAAAGAUUAAGCCAUGA
rnacentral:misc_RNA from 1 species